rnacentral:rRNA from 1 species
AUGGAAUCCGCAUUCGCUUGUCGAAUGCGUCCACCCUUUCUUUCCCGUAUACAAAUAAUCCCCGCGAAGAAGCGCCUUCGCGUCUACCAGAAAAGAAUGAACAAAAGAAUAGGAGGGGCAAAAUUGUACAGUUCCCCCUGCGCGUAUUACUACUGCCUACGGUAUAGUAUAAUUUACACUUCACUCCGCCGCCGCAGUGCUUCUACUGCUCUCCGGCCGUCGCGCCGCCGGCGAGGGGCCCUCCUGCCGCGCCAACCGGUUGAGCAUGGCGAACAUGCCGACCAUGGGGGCGGUGUUGUAGGUGCACGCCUCCGUCUGCAUGUAGUUGACCCUGUCGUCCCUGAACCUGUCGUGGCGGUCGGGCCCGCCGACGAUGGCGCCGACGACGACGUUGGGGUUGGCGCUCUUGCGGCCGAACCAGUCGUCGAACCCCUGCGCGCACCCGAUGAACUCCUUCCUGUCCUUGUACGGCACGAUGGACGCCGCGCGGUGGUGCACCCUCGCCGGGAACUUGGCGCCGUAGCCCACCAGGUAGCUGAUCCCGCGCGGGUUGCUGCCCAGCACGUAGUCCACCUGCGCCCUGGCGUGCGCGAACACCUCGCCGGCGUCGGCCGAUGCCUCGCCGCCUGCGCACGUCACGGCAGCGCCCUUCCCGGCGCCGGCCUCGGUGAGGUAGCCCGAGUAGACGGAGAGGAGGUAGGCGGCGCUGGUGACGUACUGCAUGUUGUUCCACUGGCGCACGUAGAGCAUCCCGCCGGGGCUGCGCUCCACGUUGUCCUCGGCGGCGGCGUUCCUGCCCAUGCACGCGCACACGUAGUGCUCCGCCUUGGCGCGGUACCCCUCGAGCGUGGCCCGGUGGCGCUCCUCGUGCUCGCCGCGCAGCAGCAGCCGGGUGGCGAGGAUCUGGACGCCGGCGUACUUGACGUCCCAGCUGAACUCGGUGAUGGCCCAGCCCGUGCCGCCGAACUCGUGCGCGUUGUCCACCACGUAGUCGAGGUAGCUGGCCCGCCCGGUGGCGCGGUGCAGCCAGAGCGCCGCCCAGAGCAGCUCGUCGUGGUAGCCGCUGACGGACGCGUAGUAGCUCUUCACCUCGGCGAUGCUGCUGUCGUACUUGCCUCUGUACUUGUCAGCGAACUCGAACACUGCUGGGCGUGGUGGAGGAGGAGGUGGGCGUAG